CAGGUGUGCAUAACUGUGUCUGGUGAGAAUUUACUCCUAAGACCUAAACAAAUACAAUAAAAUCUAUUUUCUCAAUUUAGUGUGAAAGCCCUAGAAUAUAAUUUUCUUAAAUGCUUGUCUCUGUAGUCAGGGUGUCAACUGAUCCUUUGCAGAGCACACCAUAUCUUGUAGAUUAUUUCCAGGAUAUGCCAGUGAGUAAUAAUAAGUUCAAAAUAACCUUCUUCUCAUGGGUCUAGUGUCUUUGGAACCCCCUAAAGGUUUACCGGUGUCAUUAAGAGGGAGAAUCCAGUCUAGUGGGAUUCCAUCUUGUUACCACCUGAGAUUGCUGCAGUCUUCUGUCUUCGUGGUGAACCCAGGGAUGCUGAGAGAUGCUGGAUCAAAGCAUAGGCACUGAAUUCAACAGUCCUCUCUUUUGGUUCUUCCUCAGGAACUUCGGCUCUCACAGCGUUUUUGGUCCUUCUCUUCACCUCUUAUUCAGUGCUGGUUCAGACAGCUUCCCUGAUCCUUCUUGCACUGUGCCCCUACUAGGGUUUGGACGAUUUUUCCUUUGAAGCUUUUGCAACAAAAUGUUAGGAUUACAUCUCUGUCUUUCUACUUCCAAGUGAAAUUUUAUGCACCCCCACCAAACUUUUUUAUUUUAUUUUAUUAUUAACAAAGGGCCUUUUUAAUGUGUCCAUUUCCAGGACAGUGAGACCCAGAACAUGUUCCUCCAGGGAAAGUCAUUUUCAGAGAUUCCAGGCUUUCCCUACUGCUACCACAUCAACCACUCAUACCUGGAGGUGGCCUUCUAGGUCCAAGAUUGCCUGACACCUUCAUGCUGAAGAAGAGGGGAGAACUUCGAGAGUUGUGGAGGGGACACAAGCACUGAUACCAUUUUCAGAACAAAAUUUUAUUUGUGUACAGAAACCCCCAAAUCUUGAGCUGUUACCCCUUUAAGAGGCUUUCUCCUUUUGGGAUGGACCUGCAGAUUUUCUAAGCCAGACAAAGCUGCCAAUCUGCCUGCUCUAGCUGUCAGUGUUUGCUGCCAUUCCACUCCUGCCACCAAUUCUCCUUUUCUUCCUUCUUGGUAAUUUGGCUUUGACACCUUCGUGAAGGUGGCACCUGUUUUCAGCUUGAUUUCUUAUACUUCCCACUUGCUUGAUAGCCUUUGGAGGGAGGAUUUAACCGGAAGAGACUGAGCUUGGGGAUGGAGGGAUAGACAGGUGGGGUCCCUGAUGCUUUUGGAGAUACACAGGGUGUUUCAUGGGGACAGGUGGGAGUGUGGGGAAAGAGCACAUGUCCAGGUGGGGGAGCUGAACAACGUAAUGGAAGGGAAGAGAGAAGAGAGGAGGUUCUCCUGUCAGAGUUGGAACUGUGUGGUUUAGAUGAGGUUGCUGGAUGACUUUAGGUUGGAAAGAAUCUUGCCAUGAGUUGGAUCCCUUCGUUGGAAAUUCUGUCUACUGGGGUUUGGGGGAUGAACCCUCUGCAUUCUCUUAGCUGAUCUUGCCAAGGCAGGAGGAGGAUUAAGAGCUCUAACAUGGUCAUUUCUUGAUAUCCUGGUGAGAUUGGUUCCAGAACCCUUCUUGGAUACCAAAAUUCUCAGAUGUUCAAGUCCCUGAGAAUGGUGUAGCUUUUGUAUAUAAUCUACGUGCACUCUCCAGUAUACUUUAAAUAAUCUCUAGAUGACCUAUAUACCUUUAUACCUAAUAAGGUAUAAAUACUGUGUAAAUAGUAGUUAUACUGUAUUAUUUAGGGAAAAAUGACAAGAACAAAGUCUGUGCAUGUUUAUCAGAAAUGCGUUGUUUUUUUUUUUUUCCUGGAUAUUGUAAUUUGUGGUUGGUUGAAUCUGCAGAUGCUGAAGCUGCAAAUAUGACAAAUAUAAGAAAUGUUUAUUCUGGACCAUUCACCUUGGAUUUUUUUCCCCCAAAUCUAUGUUGUCUGGCCAAUAAACUAGACAGUUCUGGACCCCUGUAGGAGUGUGAGGAUGACUGAGCUCCACCAUCCUUUUCGAAAGACAUCCCCUUUGUUCAUCUCAUCCGUUGCACCUGCAUUGUCCUGGACUCUAAUUAAGUUGCCCAUAUUCAUCCGGGUUCUCUGGUUUUUAUCCUUUUGAGAUAAUGGCCUGUUACCCUCUAGGUUCUGAUAACUCAUCAUUUCCCUCCUGUUCCUGAUAAGCUUGGAAAGCCUUGGAAAGACUACUGACUUUGGAGUUAAUACAAAACCAUUGAAAACAUGAGUAAUUCUUUUUUUCUUAUUAUGGGAGACUUUGUGACUGGCAUGAUUUAUCUAGGUUGAUCACUUUCCUUUCAUCAGAGCCUGGUUAUUAAUUUGUUAAAAAAAAAUCUUGUUCAAGGAAAGUGUUUAAUGAUUAGUAGACCAUGAAGCGCUAAUGUAGAAAACAAAAGCAGUUGUUCAGAAACCAUUUCUGCAUUCAGAUAAUGUUGGUUAUUCUAAUGUCUUUUUUUAAAAAAUUUGCCUUUAUCAUCAAUAUUUCAUUUUAUAUUGAAAAAGAACAUUCUAGAAGACAGUCUGCAUACAUAUGCUUCUUCUUUUCAUUAAUACUUGCUAUUCUUCAGAGUUGGGAGGGAUGGAGGAACAGGAGAAGAGGAAGAAUUAGCAAUUAUUAAUGUUUACUGUGGAUCAGGGAUUAUUCUACCACUUUAUAUACAUCCUCACUUAAUCCCUAGAGAAGUAGUGCUAAUAUUGUGUCCAUUUCAUAGAAGAGGGAGUAUCCCUGAAUGAGCAAGUAAAUUCAGAUUUCAUCCCAAUAAUCUGACUCCAGAGUUUCUGCUGUUAACCCUUUUGAGACUGCAAGCCAUUUCUGCUGGCAGAGUUUGACUUUGUUCACUAGCAUUGUAUGUAUGUAUAUAUUAUAUAUAUACACACACACAUGCAUAUGCAUAUAUAUACAUAUACGUAUAUAUACAUAUACAUGUAAUUUCUUCUGAAAGUUAAAAAUUAAAGACUUAUGAUUUAUGAAACUUGAUUAAAACAUGCAAAUAUCUGAGCAAAUAAAUUAAGCAGAGUACUAAAGAUAAUGCUGGUCUCAAUAUUUUAAGUCAGACAAGUGGUACUGCUUGGAGCAUCUGUAGAAAGUGACACAAACUUUUGGGAUGACUUGCAAGCCCAGUUCUUGAUAGAAAGAGUUUUAAAAUGCACCAUAAGCAGGUGACUGCAGGAUAAUGGCAGUGCCAGAUGGGUGUUCAAAGUGUUGCCAAACUGGAGCCUUAGGAAGUAACUCAUGAUAAGAAAUAUUUUGCAACCAACUGAGAAGUACUUUAUUUUAGAAAAUACUUGGGUAUUCUGAGUCUAUGAGUAAGCAAAUUAUCAACAUUAUUUUGCUUAAUCUAAUUUUAAGGCAUUGCUUCUCCUAGUUAAGUCUGUUUGUUUUCUACAUAAAAGUUUACACUAAAAGUAUUAGAUAUAAAAAUAUUAUCUUGAAUUUUCCUAAAUAAGAAAAAAUUAAUUAUGUAUGGUAAAGUGUAUUUCAGUUCUUUUCAAUUCUACUCUUGGUUAUGAUGCUAGAGAAUUCUUUUUCCCAAAAUUAACAGCAUAAUAUAUAGGUUCUGUGAAAAAUAUGUCGGGCUGCAUGAUUUAUACAGUACAUAUGUAUAGUAUAAAUGUAAAAUGUAAAGUCUUCAAAGUUAUAAAAAUGCUUUUGAGUACAGCUUUGAUCUAGUCCAUAAGCUUUGAUUUAUAGUUUUCUAAUUGUUUUCAUUUAGAUAGUCUAUCAUUAGUAUUUUGAUUUCCUCUUUGACCUGGUCACUAUCCUAGACUUCUUUCUUUCUCCCUUUCCCCUUUAGAAAUUGUGAGUUCUCAAACAAACAAACAAAAUAAACAAAAAACAACUUGUUGUUAUUGGUCUCUCAUAUUUUAUAGUAGCCAGUGUUGACUCUAUUUCAUAACCAUGAGGCAAAGACAAAAAUUAGGUGGGGGGAGUGUAAAACUUGAACUGCUAUUAGAGAAUUUUCAAAAUAUCUAUAUAUUUAUAAUCAUUCUUCUGUAUACUGAGGAGAUUGGUCGCAGGAUUCCUGUGGAAAAUAAAAUCUGCUUUUGCUCAAGUCCUUUAUAUCAAAUGGCAUAAUACUUGCAUAUAAGCUCCACACAUUCUCCCCUAGACUUUAAGGCAUCUCUAGAUUACUUACAUCACCUAAUACAAUGUAAAUGCUGUAUAAGUAGUUGCUAUACUAUAUUGUUUAGGGAAUAAGGACAGGACACAUAUUCAGUAAGGACACAGUUUUUUUUCAUGUGAAUAUUUCAAUCUGUUUUUGGUUCAAUCUGUAGAUAAAGAACCCAUGGAUUUGGAGAGCCUACUGUAUGUGUUUUUUCCAAGUUUAUUGAUAUUAUAUUAUUGCCUAAGAGAGAUCAAGUUUUUCUGUUCCCCAGAAACUUGAAAAAAAAGAAAUUUUUUUCACAGGAUAUGUUUGUGUGUUAAAUCUUGUUAUUAAAUAUAUAUAUAUUAAACUUAUUUUAU
rnacentral:lncRNA from 1 species